rnacentral:rRNA from 1 species
AACGAACGCUGGCGGCAGGCUUAACACAUGCAAGUCGAGCGCCCCGCAAGGGGAGCGGCAGACGGGUGAGUAACGCGUGGGAAUCUACCCAUCUCUACGGAAUAACGCAUGGAAACGCGUGCUAAUACCGUAUACGUCCUUCGGGAGAAAGAUUUAUCGGAGAUGGAUGAGCCCGCGUUGGAUUAGCAAGUUGGUGGGGUAAAGGCCUACCAAGGCGACGAUCCAUAGCUGGUCUGAGAGGAUGAUCAGCCACACUGGGACUGAGACACGGCCCAGACUCCUACGGGAGGCAGCAGUGGGGAAUAUUGGACAAUGGGCGCAAGCCUGAUCCAGCCAUGCCGCGUGAGUGAUGAAGGCCCUAGGGUUGUAAAGCUCUUUCACCGGUGAAGAUAAUGACGGUAACCGGAGAAGAAGCCCCGGCUAACUUCGUGCCAGCCGCCGCAGUAAGAC